rnacentral:lncRNA from 1 species
CUCCCUCCUUCCCUCAUGCUCCCCUUCUCUCCCUCCUUCCCUCAUGCUCCCCUGGCCACUUUCCAGCUUAAAGCCCCUAUAGCCACUAAGUACUCAGGGCUACAAACUUGGGCCAGCAGGGCUCAGGACUGGACUGUCUCCCUGAGACCCAGCUAGGUGCCUGGUAUAUUGUAAGGUCCUAAAGUAAAGAAGAUGAGGCCGGGUGCGGUGGCUCAUGCCUGUAAUCCCAGCACUUUUGAGGUCGAGGCAGGCGCAUCACGAGGUCAGCAGAUCGAGACCAUCCUGGCUAACACGGUGAAACCCUGUCUCUACUAAAAAUACAAAAAAUUAGCCGGGCGUGGUGGCGGGCGCCUGUAGUCCCAGCUACUCGGGAGGCUGAGGCAGGAGAAUGGCGUGAACCCGGGAGGCGGAGCUUGCAGUGAGCCGAGAUGGCACCACUGCACUCCAGCCUGGGCGACAGAGCAAAACUCUGUCUCAAAAUAAAUAAAUAAAUAAAA